CCUACGGGAGGCAGCAGUAGGGAAUUUUCGUCAAUGGGCGCAAGCCUGAACGAGCAAUGCCGCGUGAACGAGGAAGGUCUUCGGAUCGUAAAGUUCUGUUGAAGGGGAAAAAGAGCGGAGAGAGGAAAUGCUUUCUGAUUGAUAUUACCCUUCGAGGAAGUCACGGCUAACUACGUGCCAGCAGCCGCGGUAAUACGUAGGUGGCGAGCGUUAUCCGGAAUGAUUGGGCGUAAAGGGUGCGUAGGCGGCCUGCUAAGUCUGGAGUGAAAGGUCACGGCGCAACCGGUACAGGCUCUGGAAACUGGCGGGCUAGGGAGCAGGAGAGGGCGGUGGAACCCCAUGGGGAGCGGGAAAAUGCG
rnacentral:rRNA from 1 species